UGCAUCGGCCGGGAAUCGAACCCGGGCCCCCCGUGUGGCAGGCGAGCAUUCUACCACUGAACCACCGAUGC
rnacentral:tRNA from 1 species